rnacentral:rRNA from 1 species
UACGUAGGGUGCGAGCGUUGUCCGGAAUUAUUGGGCGUAAAGAGCUCGUAGGCGGUCUGUCGCGUCGGCUGUGAAAACCCGGGGCUCAACCCCGGGCCUGCAGUCGAUACGGGCAGACUAGAGUGCGGUAGGGGAGACUGGAAUUCCUGAUGUAGCGGUGAAAUGCGCAGAUAUCAGGAGGAACACCGGUGGCGAAGGCGGGUCUCUGGGCCGUAACUGACGCUGAGGAGCGAAAGCGUGGGGAGCGAACAGG